rnacentral:rRNA from 1 species
GAUGAACGCUGGCGGCGUGCUUAACACAUGCAAGUCGAACGGAAAGGCCCAAGCUUGCUUGGGUACUCGAGUGGCGAACGGGUGAGUAACACGUGGGUGAUCUGCCCUGCACUUCGGGAUAAGCCUGGGAAACUGGGUCUAAUACCGGAUAGGACGAUGGUUUGGAUGCCAUUGUGGAAAGUUUUUUCGGUGUGGGAUGAGCUCGCGGCCUCUCAGCUUGUUGGUGGGGUAAUGGCCUACCAAGGCGUCGACGGGUAGCCGGCCUGAGAGGGUGUACGGCCACAUUGGGACUGAGAUACGGCCCAGACUCCUACGGGAGGCAGCAGUGGGGAAUAUUGCACAAUGGGCGCAAGCCUGAUGCAGCGACGCCGCGUGGGGGAUGACGGCCUUCGGGUUGUAAACUCCUUUCGCUAGGGACGGAGCGUUUUGUGACGGUACCUGGAGAAGAAGCACCGGCUAACUACGUGCCAGCAGCCGCCGUAA